rnacentral:pre_miRNA from 2 species
AUUUGCAUUUGGCUUUAGAAACACAAAGCAUGUGUGGUAUUUCAACUCAUACAUAUCUUGUGUUUCUAGAUCAAAUGUGAGUA